UACAGAGGUGGCAAGCGUUGUUCGGAAUUACUGGGCGUAAAGGGCGCGUAGGCGGCCUUCUAAGUCAGACGUGAAAUCCCCCGGCUUAACCUGGGAACUGCGUCUGAUACUGGGAGGCUUGAGUAUGGGAGAGGGAUGUAGAAUUCCAGGUGUAGCGGUGAAAUGCGUAGAUAUCUGGAGGAAUACCGGUGGCGAAGGCGGCAUCCUGGACCAUAACUGACGCUGAUGAGCGAAAGCCAGGGGAGCAAACGGG
rnacentral:rRNA from 1 species